GCACUGCUGCGAAGUCCCACAAUAGGACGAAACGGCCGUCCAGUGC
rfam:Schistosoma curassoni strain Dakar, Senegal genome assembly, scaffold: SCTD_scaffold0000989